GCCUCGGUGGUGUAGUGGUAGCACGCGCCCCCAUAUGGGGUGAGACGCGGGUUCGACUCCCGCCCGAGAUU